rnacentral:rRNA from 1 species
GACGAACGCUGGCGGCGUGCUUAACACAUGCAAGUCGAACGGAAAGGCCCUGCUUUUGUGGGGUGCUCGAGUGGCGAACGGGUGAGUAACACGUGAGUAACCUGCCCUUGACUUUCGGAUAACUUCAGGAAACUGGGGCUAAUACCGGAUAGGAGCUCCUGCUGCAUGGGGGGGGUUGGAAAGUUUCGGCGGUUGGGGCUGGACUCGCGGCUUAUCAGCUUGUUUGUGGGGUAGUUGCUUACCAAGGCUUUGACGGGUAGCCGGCAUGAGAGGGGGACCGGGCACAUUGGGACUGCGAUACGGCCCAGACUCCUACGGGAGGCAGCAGUGGGGAAUAUUACACAAUGGGCGGACGCCUGAUACAGCAACGCCGCGUGCGUGAUGACGGCCUUCGGGUUGUAAACCGCUUUCGCCUGUGACGAAGCGUGAGUGACGGUAAUGGGUAAAGAAGCACCGGCUAACUACGUG